rnacentral:rRNA from 1 species
CCUACGGGAGGCUGCAGUGAGGAAUAUUGGUCAAUGGACGAGAGUCUGAACCAGCCAAGUAGCGUGAAGGAUGACUGCCCUAUGGAUUGUAAACUUCUGUUAUAAAGGAAUAAAACGAGGCACGUGUGCCUUUUUGCAUGUACUUUAUGAAUAAGGAUCGGCGAACUCCGGGCCAGCAGCCGCGGUAAUACGGAGGAUCCGAGCGUUAUCCGGAUUUAUUGGGUGUAAGGGGAGCGUAGAUGGGUUGUUAAGUCAGUGGUGAAAGGUUGCGGCUCAACCGUAAAAUUGCAAUUGAUACUGGCAGUCUGGAGUACAGGUGGGGUAGGCGGAAUUCGUGGUGUAGCGGUGAAAUGCGUAGAUAGCACGAAGAACCCCGAUUGCGAAGGCAGGUUACUAAACUGUAACUGACGUUGAGGCACGAAGGUGAGGGGAUCAAACGGGAUUAGAUACCCGUGUAGUC